UACGAAGGGGGCUAGCGUUGUUCGGAAUCACUGGGCGUAGAGGGCGCGUAGGCGGCUUUAUAAGUCGGGGGUGAAAGCCUGUGGCUCAACCACAGAAUUGCCUUCGAUACUGUAUGGCUUGAGACCGGAAGAGGUAAGUGGAACUGCGAGUGUAGAGGUGAAAUUCGUAGAUAUUCGCAAGAACACCAGUGGCGAAGGCGGCUUACUGGUCCGGUUCUGACGCUGAGGCGCGAAAGCGUGGGGAGCAAACAGG
rnacentral:rRNA from 1 species